rnacentral:rRNA from 1 species
CGCCUCUUGUCCACAUUAUAUAAGAGGUCCUGCCUGCCCAGUGAUUUUUAUUUAACGGCCGCGGUAUUCUGACCGUGCUAAGGUAGCGCAAUCACUUGUCUUUUAAAUGAAGACCUGUAUGAAUGGCAAAACGAGGGCUCAGCUGUCUCCUCUUUCCAGUCAAUGAAAUUGAUCUCCCCGUGCAGAAGCGGGGAUAUUUACAUAAGACGAGAAGACCCUGUGGAGCUUAAGACCAAGAGGCAGCCCACACAAGCCACUACCCCUUAAAAAUCAGGAUCCAAUGGCCCCUCCCUCCCUCUGUCUUCGGUUGGGGUGACCUUGGGGAAAUACAAAACCCCCAUGCGGAAUAGGAGCACACCCUUCAUUAACUUAGCUCCUUUCAGUUAGAGACACCUCUCUAGCAAUUAGAACAUCUAACCAUAAAUGACCCGGCCUAAGCCGACUAACGAACAAAGUUACCCCAGGGAUAACAGCGCAAUCUUCUUUUAGAGUCCAUAUCGACAAGAGGGUUUACGACCUCGAUGUUGGAUCAGGACAUCCUAAUGGUGUAGCAGCUAUUAAGGGUUCGUUUGUUCAACGAUUAAAGUCCU